rnacentral:tRNA from 1 species
GCGGAUGUGGUGAAAUGGCAGACACGCUAGAUUUAGGUUCUAGUGAGAAUUCUCAUGAGGGUUCAAGUCCCUCCAUCCGCA